UGGGGAAUAUUGCACAAUGGGCGCAAGCCUGAUGCAGCGACGCUGCGUGAGGGAAGAAGGCCUUCGGGUUGUAAACCUCUGUCAGGGGUUGGGAAAUCCGUGCCCCGAAAUGGGUACGGUUGACAAAGGCCCCAAAGGAAGCCAUGGCUAAGUCCGUGCCAGCAGCCGCGGUAACACGGACAUGGCAAGCGUUGUUCGGAAUUACUGGGCGUAAAGCGCACGCGGGCGGGCAAGCAAGUUGGGUGUGGAAUCGCUCGGCUCAACCGGGCGGGGUCGCCCAAAACUGCUCGACUAGAGGACGGUAGGGGAGAGUGGAACUCCUGGUGGAGCGGUGAUAUGCGUAGAUAUCAGGAGGAACGCCGGCGGCGAAAGCGACUCUCUGGGCCGUUGCUGACGCUGAGGUGCGAAAGCCAGGGGAGCAAACG
rnacentral:rRNA from 1 species